rnacentral:rRNA from 1 species
CCGCGGUAAUACGUAGNGUGCAAGCGUUAAUCGGAAUUACUGGGCNUAANGCGUGCGCAGGCGNUCCGNUAAGACAGAUGUGAAAUCCCCGGGCUUANCCUGGGAACUGCAUUUGUGACUGGCGGGCUAGAGUAUGGCAGANGGGGGUAGAAUUCCACGUGUAGCAGUGAAAUGNGUAGANAUGUGGAGGAAUACCGAUGGCGAAGGCAGCCCCCUGGGCCAAUACU